rnacentral:rRNA from 1 species
CAGUAGCGUAUAUUAAAGUUGUUGCAGUUAAAAAGCUCGUAGUUGGAUUUCUGGCUGACCGGGUAUGGUCCGGCGUCCUCAGGGCGCUGUGUACCGUCUUGCGUUUGCCAUCCUUCCGGAGAGCUGUGCCUACCGCCUCGUGCGGCAGGGCGCGUGCGACCCGGAUCGUUUACUUUGAAAAAUUAGAGUGUUCCAAGCAAGCAUCCGCUUUGAAUACAUUAGCAUGGAAUAAUAAUAUAGGACUUCUGUUCUAUUUUGUUGGUUUCUAGGACCGAAGUAAUGAUUGAUAGGGAUAGUUGGGGGUGCUAGUAUUCAGCGGCCAGAGGUGAAAUUCUUGGAUUCGCUGAAGACUAACUACUGCGAAAGCAUUCACCAAGGAUGUCUUCUUUAAUCAAGAACGAAAGUUGGGGAUCGAAGAUGAUCAGAUACCGU